UGGCUGUAAAUAACUAUGGGGGUGCAGAGAGAAGUUAACGUCCUAAAAGCUCCAGAAGGUCUGGAUCCUGACGAUCAGGUAGAAACUCAAACAGCAGCGUGGGACCGUGGGCAGGUCGCUGCCCCCCCUCUGUCUCCCCUGACAACGAGCAAAAAUAGAGCUGAGGCACCAGGUCAUGUGACCGCUCGGUCGCCACAGCAAUCACAGCCGGUCGUCGUGGCGACCCCUGGAUACGACAAAAGCAGGAAAUGAUUUAUGGAGCCGAGGGCUCUGAGGACGCCGGCGGCUUCAUUUCAUGGACUCGUCUCACCUUGAAGACGAGCAGGAUGAAGAGCAGCAUGAGGCUGAUCUGGACGCUGAUGACGAUCAGCUGAGAGAAGAGAUGAGCCAGCAUCGUCUCCACGGAGCUCACGCCUGAAAAGAUUUCAAGAGAGAAACCAGCACGUCAGGAACUCUCUUCUACUCUGAAGACGAUUCAACUCUCACCAAAAAACACAGACGGUUGAUUUUAUUGGAUAAAUAUAACAAACUUGUUGAUUCUUGCAGAAAAAAUACAAAUCUUGUUUUCUAGACACGAAUGAGUUUAGUAAAGUUAAGACUGGUUUUCAAA